rnacentral:rRNA from 1 species
UGCCUAGGAAUCUGCCUGGUAGUGGGGGAUAACGUUCGGAAACGGACGCUAAUACCGCAUACGUCCUACGGGAGAAAGCAGGGGACCUUCGGGCCUUGCGCUAUCAGAUGAGCCUAGGUCGGAUUAGCUAGUUGGUGAGGUAAUGGCUCACCAAGGCGACGAUCCGUAACUGGUCUGAGAGGAUGAUCAGUCACACUGGAACUGAGACACGGUCCAG